AAACAAACAAGUUGCUCCAGCAACCUUCUAAAUAAAUAAAUCCCUGGAGGAUUUCUUGAUUUACUUGUUCAUUUCAAACAUACACACUUCUCAUAUCACCUCAAGAAAGCUUCUUUCUCUCUACUUUCCACCACCUUGUGCAAGUGUUCUUGAGUUGCUAUUACACUUUUUGGAUCAUCCAAGUCUUCACGUGUUCACCAAGUGCUCUUGACUUGAUAUUCCUUAACUUCAACCUUCCACUCUUCAAGUCAUCACUCAAGGUGAGUUCAUACCCCUACAUUUUCUAGUUUUCUUCAAUUUUCAGGGGGGAAAUACAAGUUAAAACACCAAAACAUAUUCAAAACUCAACUUGACAGCUUACAACAGAAAAGUUGUGACUUGUUCACGAACUGUUUUACCCAACUUAAACUGAAUAUUUUUCAAAACUGUAUAAUAUGCAAGUAGUUCAGGUUUAUACCUUUAAAAUUACUACUUUUACAUCUCCAUACGAUUUUUCUACAAUUUAUGGUGAUUUUACAAAACUGUCUGUCACUGCAGCAACAAAAUCAGACCAGGUUGUGAAAAUGAACAUUUUCACACUAGUUUGAGACCACCAAAAAUUAUGGGAAAAUUUAAUAACAUAGUAGACACUUUUUCCAAAUACUCAGAGAUUACGGAUUCAGUUUUCUACUUACGAUGAUUUUUCUAUAAAUACUAAAAAACAGUGACAGUUAAGGGUAAAACUGUCAAAUACAUAUUUAAGAGUUAUUCACACCUUGUAACAUGUUGAGCAAGGUGUGUAAGAUUUACACUUAGUAUUUCUAAUGUCCUUUAUUUGAAAUACAUAUACAUGCGUAACAAAGUUUCAUACCAUCAUAUAACACUUUUGAUAAACUAUAAUAGGUAUAGUUUUGAACACUCCAUUUAACAAAGAAAACAAUAACAUUAUCGAUUUACAAAACGAAUUUUUCACUACACAUUAUGUGAAUUCGUUAAUAAAUAUUUGUGAGACAUUCUCCUUCAGGGUACUCUAAGUACCACAGAAAAGUCCUUUAGUUAUAAUCAGAAUCUCCUGGAGGGAGAACGUGAUAGUUGUGUAUAGAUGUAUAUUGGGUCCUACAAACCCGCACCUGAGCUGUUUGCAACAGCUAGACCAGCAGGUCUGUGGUGACAAGUGUCAUAAAUUCCCGACGCCUGAAGAACGUCGCAUUCGAGGCCAUCUAGUCCUUAGUAUGAUUAUAACAUCUCGCAUGGAAUAUUAACACAACAUACAGUUCACGGAAAUUCUAAGGCUUUAUACAAAGGAGUUCUAUUUAAGUAUAAAACACACACAUAAGUAUGACGAUUUACUUACACAUACUAAGCCUUGUUUCAUUUCAGUUUACAACAAAUCUUUUAGAAAAUAUUGGAAUUUCUGGAAACAAACUUGUAACAAACGUUAAGGAAACAACAUUCAUUUUUGUAAAAUACUUAUGAACUCACCAGCUUUAUACUGAUAUUCUCUUUUCAAAACAACUUGUAUUCUCAGGUAAUCAGUAAUACAGGUAACCGCAAGAUUUCUGAAGUCAAGACGCUAAGGCGUAGAUUCUUUUGCUAGAUUUUAUCAUCAUAUGUAAUUUAAUUGGAAAACAUGUAUUUUUGGAACAUGUAUUUUGGAAACAAUGUAAUCUUCUUAAUUUAUAUCUAUGAUGGUUGUGUUUUA